rnacentral:rRNA from 1 species
AUGACGGCUCUAAAUCUUCCGGUUGAAGUUGUGAAAAAGAUCGAUGCCCUCCGGCGUGCUUAUCUCUGGGCUGGUUGUGACAAGGUCACGGGUGGGAAAUGUAAGGUCAACUGGGAUCAAGUUUGCAAGUCAAAGUUGCAUGGGGGUCUUGGGAUCCUAAAUCUUCAGAAGUUUGCGGCUGCUCUUCGUCUCCGUUGGCUGUGGUUUGACUGGCAGGACCCGAUCAGGCCUUGGUCGGGCUUGGGCUUCCCUUGCGACAAGAAUGAUCAAAACAUCUUUGCGUCGGCCUCCAAGGUUCAGGUGGGUGACGGUCUUCGUGCCUCCUUCUGGGAGUCAGCUUGGCUAGAUGGCAUCAGACCCAAAGAUAUUGCUCCCAAAAUUUACGACAUCUCCAAAAAGAAGAACUCUUCCGUUCAUAAGGCUUUGCUCAAUGGCUUCUGGAUCUCCCAGGUGAAUGUUGCCUCGGGCAUCACCACUGAGCACAUUGUCCAGUUUGUUGCGCUUUGGGACAGACUCACCCACAUUCAGUUAAACCCAGACAUGCCAGACUCCAUCACUUGGAAACUAACUACUAAUGGCCACUAUUCCGCAGCCUCGGCAUACAGGGCUCAGUUUCUUGGCUUGGUGGACACGGAUAUGAAUCAAAAUGUGUGGAAGAACUGGGCGCCCCCAAAGUGUAAGUUUUUCGCUUGGCUUGUCAUCAGUAAUAGAAUUUGGACGGCUGACAGACUCCUCCGCCGUGGGUGGCCGAAUUGCAAUCUCUGCCCACUAUGCCAAUAA